GGGCGCAUAGUUCAGUGGUAGAACGCUAAACUGAUAAUUUAGAGGUCCCAGGUUCAAUCCCUGGUGCGCCCA
rnacentral:tRNA from 1 species